rnacentral:rRNA from 1 species
UGCUGCAUGGCUGUCGGUCAGCUCGUGUCGUGAGAUGUUGGGUUAAGUCCCGCAACGAGCGCAACCCUUGUCAUUAGUUGCUACAUUCAGUUGGGCACUCUAAUGAGACUGCCGGUGACAAACCGGAGGAAGGUAGGGAUGACGUCAAGUCCUCAUGGCCCUUAUAGGUGGGGCUACACACGUCAUACAAUGGAUGGUACAAAGGGUCGCCAACCCGCGAGGGGGAGCCAAUCCCAUAAAGCCAUUCGUAGUCCGGAUCGCAGUCUGCAACUCGACUGCGUGAAGUCGGAAUCGCUAGUAAUCGUGGAUCAGAAUGUCACGGUGAAUACGUUCCCGGGUCUU